rnacentral:rRNA from 1 species
UACAGAGGGUGCGAGCGUUGUUCGGAAUUAUUGGGCGUAAAGCGCGUGUAGGCGGCUUUGCAAGUCGGGUGUGAAAGCCCUCAGCUUAACUGAGGAAGUGCGCCCGAAACUGCAUUGCUUGAGUACCGGAGAGGAUGGCGGAAUUCCCCAAGUAGAGGUGAAAUUCGUAGAUAUGGGGAGGAACACCAGUGGCGAAGGCGACUCACUGGACACGUAUUGACGCUGAGGUGCGAAAGCGUGGGGAGCAAACAGG